ACCUCAUAAUAUUCAACUUCCAUUUUCUGUAUAGAUUGUGAGGCCUAGAGCGCUGCUUCCUGUUUCUCACAGUUUGGUAGCCAUUGACUUCUAGGAUGUAGAAGUUUUCUAAAAAUUGCUUAGACUUAAUUCAUUCUGAACGUUCAAAUCCGUGGGCAGGAGCGACAGAAAAUUCCUUGAACUUACUCCAAGGAGGGCAAUCUGUUUAUGAUGUGUUGACAUGGCAACAGUUACCUUGGACACCCAGCUUCUUCUUGUUUUCAUCACUCUACCUUAUUUUUGCCCUUUAAUAUGCAGCAUCCAGCUCAUGCUGUGUUGCAGGGAUUUGAUACUGUAUUUCUGACCCUCUCCCAUUACCCAUGGCCACAUGACUCAGAUCUCCCACGGUUCAUUCAUUUCUGUGCCCACAUCCCUUUAACUGGUGAUAAUGGCAGGAGAUUUCUGGUCCUCAAGCUAAAAGCUUUAGCAUCUUCAGUGAUGAUUCCUGAUUCAUUGACAAUUCAAUGAAGAGUUGAACAAGUUAUUCAGAUUCUACCUCUGAAAUAUAUUUCAAGUUCAUCUCAGUUGAAGAUCUAAUGAUUUUCUUGGCCUAUAUAAUAAAGCCCAUAUCUUUAGUAAUACUCAG
rnacentral:lncRNA from 1 species